CAAGUAAUAUUACUAAAGUUAUAUUGAAUUGAAAUUACAAAGUACUGCACAGCUUGCCUUAGCUUAGAACUGUGUAUUAAGACUAGUUACACCAACCGCAUCUGCUUUAAAUAUUUGAAAUCGUAAUGAAAGUGUUUACACUAACUUCGAAUCGUUUUAACAGAUUACAAAAGUAAAAAAAAACAACAAGAAAGAAGAAGACUAUAAGAUAGGAAAAGAAAAUAAAUAAGGGUGAAUGAGAAAAAUAAUUCGACACAGGAUGCAUUGAAAAACUGUAUUCUCGUAAAUAUUUAAUCUUUAUUCAAUAAUGGACUCAAUGCUGACUGUUCAAAAGAUGUUGCGCACCUCAACAAUAUAUCAAACGAUAAUGAAUAGUUAGCAAGAUAUGACUUAUUGGGGAUAUCAAAAUCUUUCUGAAGAAAGUAUAGUUUGUCCCGACAAAGCUUUACAAAUCACAUUUUUUAUGGGAAUUCGUCAAAUAUGCUUAUAGGUGGAACUUUUCAGUGGUUAGGAUAUACGGAUUAUAUAUAAGGCAGAAGGCGCAUUACCGCUCCUAAUCCGAGGGGAGCAAAUUUGUAAAAUGGAAGUUGGUCGUAAAUCGUUCCGAGUGACGUGCCCCAACUGCAAAUUGGAGGUGAAGACAGAAUCGAGGGCGGAGACAACAUUAACCACGCUUGCGACUACGAUUUUGAUGUGCAUAUUUUGCUGCUGGAUUUGCAUUCCAUUCCUGUAUUUGCACGGAUUGCGCCAAGGACAUCGAGCAUACUUGCCCCCUGUGCAAAAGACAUAUUGGCAC